UUUAUCCUUUUGACAAUGCUAUGUAAGUUUCGAGGACGAAACUUUUUCUAAGGGGGUAAGGAUGUAAUAUCCUAAAAAUCUUAAACAUAUUUAAGUGAGUAAUUAACGUAAUAAUGUAGUUAGAAUAUAUUUUAUUUUAUUCGUUUCACUAAUUAAGCAACGUAUAAUAAAAUGUUUAUAGAAUUUUUAACAUAAAAAUUUACUAACUUAAAUUAUGACGAUAAUUUAUAAUUACGAUUUUAUGAGUUAAACAAGAAGGUUAAUAAAGUUGAUAAUUCACUUAAAGUACAAAAUGUCAACAUUUCACCCAAAAUGUCAUCAAGCCACGUUUGAAGGUGUUAGUGUGGAAAAUUUUCUGAUUUUUGGUUGGGAAACAAAAAGGGCAAAAGAAAAAGAGAAGCCAUGGUCAAUUCCCCCAUUAAUUUGCCUUCUUCCUCACCUUUUCAUGGCCAUUUGGCACUCAUGCAAUCAUCACUCUCUUCUUCUUCUUCAGUCAAAUCUAUUACCAAUCCUCACAAUUGCUUCUUCAAGUAAACAAAAUCAGAUUACUUACUUCACCAUCUUCCUCCCAACCACUGAUUUUAACUCCCAAAUUUCUACUAUAAAUAGCCAUGGAAACUCAACAUCAAGAGCACACCAACAAUCUUCAUCCCCUCUUCUCUCUCUCUAAUCAGAAAUUCAGUCAAUAAUCGCCGGAAAAUUGUAACUAAAAGAAUAAAAAAAAAAAGAAAAAAAAGAAAGUUAGAAAAAAAAAAAAAAAAAGAAAAAGAAACCCCAAAUUCAUAAUCUCUCUCCUCUGGUUUCGCCUCCACAACCGGCCACCUGCGCCGCGCCAGUCUCGGCCCCAUCUCGUCGUCAUUCAGCGGUCACCAGCCGCCGUCGGAGCUUCACCAAACCGCCAGCACUCCUCCUCCUCGCGCGCUCUCUCUCUCCUCGCGCUGUCUCUCUCGUCCCUCUUCUUCUUCGCGACGCCACUGCACGCGCAGCACCGCCGAGACCCAGCCACCACGCCACGCUGCCGUCGCUUCUCGCUGACCGCCGCUGCUGCUCGCCGUUCACCGGAGCCGACGUCCCACCUCUACCGGAAUUUUCGUCCUCCCUGCUCCUAGUAGCAGAGGUACCGAUGGUGAUAACGGGAUGGCGUAGCAGUGAGGAUUUAAUUAAUAUCUAGAUUAUCUAGACUCUCAUGGUUUUAAUUUAAGUUUAUGUCAAAACUCUGAUUAGUAACUAAGUUUCUAUUAAUCAAGACUAAUGUUGGAUCUAUAUUAUGCUUCAUGUUAUAAAUGUUUAAGUUUAUGAUUU